rnacentral:rRNA from 1 species
GGUUAAGCGACUAAGCGUACACGGUGGAUGCCCUGGCAGUCAGAGGCGAUGAAGGACGUGCUAAUCUGCGAUAAGCGUCGGUAAGGUGAUAUGAACCGUUAUAACCGGCGAUUUCCGAAUGGGGAAACCCAGUGUGUUUCGACACACUAUCAUUAACUGAAUCCAUAGGUUAAUGAGGCGAACCGGGGGAACUGAAACAUCUAAGUACCCCGAGGAAAAGAAAUCAACCGAGAUUCCCCCAGUAGCGGCGAGCGAACGGGGAGGAGCCCAGAGCCUGAAUCAGUGUGUGUGUUAGUGGAAGCGUCUGGAAAGGCGCGCGAUACAGGGUGACAGCCCCGUACACAAAAAUGCACAUAUUGUGAGCUCGAUGAGUAGGGCGGGACACGUGGUAUCCUGUCUGAAUAUGGGGGGACCAUCCUCCAAGGCUAAAUACUCCUGACUGACCGAUAGUGAACCAGUACCGUGAGGGAAAGGCGAAAAGAACCCCGGCGAGGGGAGUGAAAAAGAACCUGAAACCGUGUACGUACAAGCAGUGGGAGCCUCUUUUAUGGGGUGACUGCGUACCUUUUGUAUAAUGGGUCAGCGACUUAUAUUCUGUAGCAAGGUUAACCGAAUAGGGGAGCCGAAGGGAAACCGAGUCUUAACUGGGCGUUAAGUUGCAGGGUAUAGACCCGAAACCCGGUGAUCUAGCCAUGGGCAGGUUGAAGGUUGGGUAACACUAACUGGAGGACCGAACCGACUAAUGUUGAAAAAUUAGCGGAUGACUUGUGGCUGGGGGUGAAAGGCCAAUCAAACCGGGAGAUAGCUGGUUCUCCCCGAAAGCUAUUUAGGUAGCGCCUCGUGAACUCAUCUCCGGGGGUAGAGCACUGUUUCGGCAAGGGGGUCAUCCCGACUUACCAACCCGAUGCAAACUGCGAAUACCGGAGAAUGUUAUCACGGGAGACACACGGCGGGUGCUAACGUCCGUCGUGAAGAGGGAAACAACCCAGACCGCCAGCUAAGGUCCCAAAGUCAUGGUUAAGUGGGAAACGAUGUGGGAAGGCCCAGACAGCCAGGAUGUUGGCUUAGAAGCAGCCAUCAUUUAAAGAAAGCGUAAUAGCUCACUGGUCGAGUCGGCCUGCGCGGAAGAUGUAACGGGGCUAAACCAUGCACCGAAGCUGCGGCAGCGACACUAUGUGUUGUUGGGUAGGGGAGCGUUCUGUAAGCCUGUGAAGGUGUACUGUGAGGUAUGCUGGAGGUAUCAGAAGUGCGAAUGCUGACAUAAGUAACGAUAAAGCGGGUGAAAAGCCCGCUCGCCGGAAGACCAAGGGUUCCUGUCCAACGUUAAUCGGGGCAGGGUGAGUCGACCCCUAAGGCGAGGCCGAAAGGCGUAGUCGAUGGGAAACAGGUUAAUAUUCCUGUACUUGGUGUUACUGCGAAGGGGGGACGGAGAAGGCUAUGUUGGCCGGGCGACGGUUGUCCCGGUUUAAGCGUGUAGGCUGGUUUUCCAGGCAAAUCCGGAAAAUCAAGGCUGAGGCGUGAUGACGAGGCACUACGGUGCUGAAGCAACAAAUGCCCUGCUUCCAGGAAAAGCCUCUAAGCAUCAGGUAACAUCAAAUCGUACCCCAAACCGACACAGGUGGUCAGGUAGAGAAUACCAAGGCGCUUGAGAGAACUCGGGUGAAGGAACUAGGCAAAAUGGUGCCGUAACUUCGGGAGAAGGCACGCUGAUAUGUAGGUGAAGUCCCUCGCGGAUGGAGCUGAAAUCAGUCGAAGAUACCAGCUGGCUGCAACUGUUUAUUAAAAACACAGCACUGUGCAAACACGAAAGUGGACGUAUACGGUGUGACGCCUGCCCGGUGCCGGAAGGUUAAUUGAUGGGGUCAGCGCAAGCGAAGCUCUUGAUCGAAGCCCCGGUAAACGGCGGCCGUAACUAUAACGGUCCUAAGGUAGCGAAAUUCCUUGUCGGGUAAGUUCCGACCUGCACGAAUGGCGUAAUGAUGGCCAGGCUGUCUCCACCCGAGACUCAGUGAAAUUGAACUCGCUGUGAAGAUGCAGUGUACCCGCGGCAAGACGGAAAGACCCCGUGAACCUUUACUAUAGCUUGACACUGAACAUUGAGCCUUGAUGUGUAGGAUAGGUGGGAGGCUUAGAAGUGUGGACGCCAGUCUGCAUGGAGCCGACCUUGAAAUACCACCCUUUAAUGUUUGAUGUUCUAACGUUGACCCGUGAUCCGGGUUGCGGACAGUGUCUGGUGGGUAGUUUGACUGGGGCGGUCUCCUCCUAAAGAGUAACGGAGGAGCACGAAGGUUGGCUAAUCCUGGUCGGACAUCAGGAGGUUAGUGCAAUGGCAUAAGCCAGCUUGACUGCGAGCGUGACGGCGCGAGCAGGUGCGAAAGCAGGUCAUAGUGAUCCGGUGGUUCUGAAUGGAAGGGCCAUCGCUCAACGGAUAAAAGGUACUCCGGGGAUAACAGGCUGAUACCGCCCAAGAGUUCAUAUCGACGGCGGUGUUUGGCACCUCGAUGUCGGCUCAUCACAUCCUGGGGCUGAAGUAGGUCCCAAGGGUAUGGCUGUUCGCCAUUUAAAGUGGUACGCGAGCUGGGUUUAGAACGUCGUGAGACAGUUCGGUCCCUAUCUGCCGUGGGCGCUGGAGAACUGAGGGGGGCUGCUCCUAGUACGAGAGGACCGGAGUGGACGCAUCACUGGUGUUCGGGUUGUCAUGCCAAUGGCACUGCCCGGUAGCUAAAUGCGGAAGAGAUAAGUGCUGAAAGCAUCUAAGCACGAAACUUGCCCCGAGAUGAGUUCUCCCUGACCCUUUAAGGGUCCUGAAGGAACGUUGAAGACGACGACGUUGAUAGGCCGGGUGUGUAAGCGCAGCGAUGCGUUGAGCUAACCGGUACUAAUGAACCGUGAGGCUUAACCUU